UCUUCUUUUUCCAGUGUAUAUUAUGCUUGGAAAGAAGCAGGGAAGUUUAACAUGAUCUCUGGACAAGGAUGGCAAAGAAAUCCAUGAAAUGGUCUAUAUUCUU